CUCAUUUCUGCAACACCAAAAAAAAAAAAAAAACAAACAUCAAACCUCCAUUUUCAAACUCCUCAAAUAAACAAAUAGAAAAUCUCUUAUUUAGAAACAAUUCUUGUUCUUUUUAGCUUUGUUGCCUAAAACAUACGCUGAUACAUUUAUGGAUCGAUGCCGGAUUUCUUCAUCUAAGGUCUAGCAUGUUUAAAUGAGGUACAGUACUGCAGCCAAGGAUGACUUGCCGGCCGGCUAAGCUAUCUCUUCCAUAUAUUCUGUUAUUAUGUUCAUUUUAUUGCCAAAGAUUUGAACAAGACUGUAAUACAUAAAUGAAACAAAAACCUUUGGAGGAGAUAACAUCGAUCCGGCAAGUUGUCCUCGGCUACAAUUCUGUCUCAUUUUCACUUGUUACAUCUAUGAUGAUAAUGGUCUGGAAAUGCUGAAGAAUAUGGAGCACUUUCACAUGCACAGUCAAGUUACGAUUUUCAGCACCACUUGAACCUGGUGGAACAUCCAGCUAGGCGACCGUAUCUCGAUCCGUGGGGUUGCUAUGCUGUGAUGCUAUGGCCAUGGAGAAUAUAGGAACACAAGGAGAAGGCUAAUGCAUUUUCAAUUUGCCAACAUUUUCAACCCCUUCUGCAAGUACCAACGCCUGAAAUUGCAAGCAACAGUGAGGAGUGCACUACAAAAUGCUCCGGUCUGGUGCCGCCUUUACUGUCAAAGAUUGUCAACUUAAAACAUAUCCAUAACUUACAAAAGCUGCAAAAAAAGAAACGAUAUAUGUCAUAAAAGUUUAAGAGUUGUUGAUCACUGAAUCUUUGUUGAUAGGCCUGAUUUAGUCAAAUGUAAAGAAAAUCCAGACAAUUCCUUCAAUAUAUACAUCACGUAACAAAUGUGUGCCUACAAAA